UGUAGAACGUGGACCUGAAAGAUAAGGUUAAUUGACGCCCUGACUUAGCAAAGAACUGGUAGCAGGAUCAAAUGGCAGUUAGAAAGAAAUACUUUGGGACCUGGAAAACCCUUAUUUUCCUUGUCCUGAGCUUGAUACUUCAGCAGGAUUUCAUUGAUUGGGUUCGCUGCUCAGAAAAACGCAGUAGGGACCGCACGUGUGAAAUAGUGGGAAAGACUUCUGGAGCUGCUCUUUUAUGGCGUGUGAUUCUCCUCAUUGAUGGCCGAUCCGCUGAGUGCAUAAAUAGGACAUUUAAGGGAAGCAGCAUAGAACCCACAGCACAAACAAUGCCAUCACAGCCAUCCAGCGAAGCUUAUCGCAGGUAAGAGCCCAAAUGAAGUAGGGGACAGAACUAUUUCAGGCAUUUUUGAAAAACCCUGGAAAAAAUGUAGUUAGAGAAAUGGUUUUAUGUUUUAGAACGAUUUAUUUAUGUUGUAGAACGAUUUAUUUAAGUAGUAGUUUUGAAUGUUAUUUGACUAUUUGUAAUUGUGCUGUAUGUAUUACUUUUUUUUAAAAAUAGCUAUAUCCAUGUAAGUUAAUAAACUCAUCCUUCAUGAAACUAAAGCUUUGACAUUGAAAAUAUGUUAGAACUACUGGAAUACUUCCAUUAAUAUUUUGCACCCAGCUGCUAAAUGACUUCUAUAGGUAACUUUGAAUAAAAGGAAAACAAUCGUAGCUGGUGGAAAUGAAACAGUUAUAAUUUAAUAAAGACUACAUUGGUUCGAA